UGCAGCCAUUGAAACAACAAGGAGGAACAACAACACAUCAUGUGGAUGGUUUUUGUCUACGAGUGUCUCGGAUUUCUUGAAGGACCUUAAAAUUCCAUCGUGGGGUGGAUGAGCGGAAGGGGAAGCAGGGACAGCGGAACGAGCACCACAAGGAUCAGCUUCCUCGCCCUCCACAGCUUCCUGAUCAGAUCCACCCUGGCUGCGGCCUCUAGCCUCAUGGGGGACCCGGAGCUCUGGAUCGGAUCGGCCACUACUCAGCAGAACCGGUUGUGAAAGUCCCGGCUGACGGGGAAAGUCUCUGAGAGCCAGCGAGCGCGGAGGGCUGGAGGAAGGUCUCCUUGGAGCGCGUAAAGUUCUGUCUCGGCUGUGCGCUUUUACGCACAGAAGGUGGACGGUGACCGGAUCUGAGUGCGUCUCUUAGAAAGUGACUUGCCUUGCCUGUUGACAAGCAGCGCCUCUGGUUUUGGUCGACUGACUACAAAAUCCACGGCCAUAUGAACGAUUGUGAUUGACUGCUAAAUACCCUGUAAUGUAAUUGGGGAAAUUGGAGCUGUUAAGCUCCUCUUGGAUCACGUCCAAUGAGUGGCAUUACCAUGGCAUCAUUGUAACACAGAAAAAUAAAGUG